CUAUGGAGAGGUGUCCUUUCCUCCCAGUCUUGUCCCCUUGCAACUUCAUCUGCAGUGUGAUUAUACCUCAUUACAACUCUUCUAACAAUCACUCAUCUCAGGAAUCAUAUUAUGUAUCUUACACACAUCUUUCAAUAAAAGGUUACCUUGUAGUCCCGCUUUCGUACAUUGAAACCCAUCGGUUUUGCAGUUUCUUCAAUCUUUGACAUGAUUUCGUUUGCAGGGCUUUGCGAAGUAAAACGAGUUUCUCUCUUUGCAACAGUCUACAAAGAAAAAGAUAAUCAUCUAACCAACUACGGUGCAAAUACCCCUCAAGAAAUGGGUUGUCCUCAGCUCAGUUAUUGCAAAAUUAUCGUAUCAUCAGGAAAUUUUUUGGCUUACAAGUUGUAGUCAGGUAGAAUAAGGUGCAAUUUGACAUUAGAGUAAAUGAAAAAUGAUUUAACUCAGUUAUGUAUUGCCAUUUGAUACAUGUGAUAUCAGGCCAUGUUUUUCUUUAGGGUAACAUCAUGAAUCAAUGAUAGUAGGAAAAGUGGGUCCAUUUAAAAUACAUAUGUAAUCCAAUCCAUUUGUAUUUAAAAAUUACGUGAGUCAGACUAACCAAAAUUUCUGUUACUGUUAUAUUAUGAGAAUUACGAAUUUUUCACACUUACUAUAACCAUUAACGGUAAUGAUAAAGGUAAUAGUAAAUAUGACAAAUUUAUAAUUCUAAGUAAACGUGAAUAUAAGCAAUUCAAUUAUGUUUGCGAUUAAGGCAAUACAAUUGUACCUAUUUAUGUAUCUGAAUGGGUAAACAUGAGUACAGUUCACUAACUAUAAAGAAGGAUUAUAGUACUAUGUACUGUAAACGUACC
rnacentral:lncRNA from 1 species